AGUGAACGCUGGCGGUAGGCCUAACACAUGCAAGUCGAACGGCAGCACAGUAAGAGCUUGCUCUUACGGGUGGCGAGUGGCGGACGGGAGAGGAAUACAUCGGAAUCUACUUUUUCGUGGGGGAUAACGUAGGGAAACUUACGCUAAUACCGCAUACGACCUACGGGUGAAAGCAUGGGAUCUUCGGACCUUGCGCGAUUGAAUGAGCCGAUGUCGGAUUAGCUAGUUGGCGGGGUAAAGGCCAACCAAGGCGACGAUCCGUAGCUGGUCUGAGAGGAUGAUCGGCCACACUGGAACUGAGACACGGUCCAUACUCCUACGGGAGGCAGCAGUGGGGAAUAUUGGACAAUGGGCGCAAGCCUGAUCCAGCCAUACCGCGUGGGUGAAGGAGGCCUUCGGGUUGUAAAGCCCUUUUGUUGGGAAAGAAAAGCAGCAGGUUAAUACCCCGCUGUUCUGACGGUACCCAAAGAAUGAGCACCGGCUAACUUCGUG
rnacentral:rRNA from 1 species